UACGUAGGGGGCUAGCGUUGUCCGGAAUCAUUGGGCGUAAAGCGCGUGUAGGCGGUCCGGUAAGUCCGCUGUGAAAGUCGGGGGCUCAACCCUCGGAUGCCGGUGGAUACUGUCGGGCUUGAGUACGGAAGAGGCGAGUGGAAUUCCCGGUGUAGCGGUGAAAUGCGCAGAUAUCGGGAGGAACACCAAUUGCGAAGGCAGCUUGCUGGGACGGUACUGACGCUGAGGCGCGAAAGC
rnacentral:rRNA from 1 species